CGCCAGAGAACAACGAGCAAAGCUUAAAACCCAAAGGACUUGGCGGCACUCCACACCACCCUAGAGGGGCCUGUCACACAAUCGAUAACCCACGAUAGACCUCACCGCCCUUAGCCCACAUCAGCCUAUAUACCGCCGUCGCCAGCCCAUCUCUGAGAGAAACAAAAUGGACCCAAUAGUACCACCCGCACUAACACGACAGGUCAAGGUGUAGCUCAUAAGGCGGCAAAUGAUGGACCACAUUGCUCACCCAGCCACACCAAAAUUGCACUGAAACACACACUUUAAGGUGAAUUUAACAAUAAGACAAACAAGAAAAUUUGUCUAAAGUAUGCUCUGGAGUGUGUACACACCGCCCGUCACCCUCAA
rnacentral:rRNA from 1 species